UUUUCAUUACCAUCAGAUUCACCAAAGCUCUUUCUCUCUCCUCAUUCCUCUCUCUCUCUCUCUCCCCUCUCUUUGUUCUUCCUUGAAGCCCCCAGUCGGCUACAAACCCUCUUCUCUCUCCAUUUCCCCAUAACCCAGAAAAACGAAUUUCAAUUUUCAGACCGAAGCUGAGAGGAAGAACACCCGAAUCGAUUCCUCCAUUCAUUUGGGUAUCUCGUGAAAACCAGGGAAAGGGGCAAUGGAUUCGGAUCAGGGGAAGCUUUUCAUUGGUGGAAUUUCAUGGGAAACCUCCGAGGAUAAGCUUAAGGACUACUUCAGCAACUAUGGUGAAGUGAUGCAUACGGUGGUGAUGAGGGAUAAGAUCACUAGCAGACCUAGAGGGUUUGGGUUCGUCGUUUUCUCAGAUCCCUCUGUUCUCGAUCGAGUUCUUCAGGAUAAGCACACCAUCGAUGGUAAAACGGUUGAGGCCAAGAGGGCCUUAUCACGGGAAGAACAGCAGACCCCUGCUAGAGCAAGCAAUUCUAAUGCUACUAGGAAUUCUGGUGGUGGUGGUGGUGGAGGAAACAUGAGGACUAAAAAAAUUUUUGUUGGGGGAUUGCCUCCAACAUUAACUGAAGAAGGAUUUAAGGAGUACUUUGAGGCGUAUGGCCAUGUAACCGAUGUCGUAGUCAUGUAUGAUCAAAAUACUAGGCGUCCACGGGGAUUUGGAUUUAUAUCGUUUGAUACUGAAGAAGCUGUUGACAGGGUUUUGCAUAAGACAUUUCAUGAUUUGAAUGGUAAACAAGUAGAAGUUAAGCGUGCCCUUCCUAAAGAUGCUAAUCCAGGUGCGGGUGGUCGUUCAAUGGGUGGCGGUGGUUAUCAAGGUUAUGGGUCUUCUGGUGGUGUUAAUUCGAAUUCUUAUGAUAGUCAUAUGGAUUCGAGUAGGUAUAUGCAAUCUCAGGGCUCUGGUGGAGGGUUCCCACCUUAUGGUUCCUCUGGAUAUAGUAAUCCUGGGUAUGGGUAUGGUUCAUCGAACAAUGGCAUGGGAUAUGGUGGUUAUGGAAAUUACAGUGGUUCGAAUACUGGGUAUGGCGCCCCUGCAGCUGUAGCCUACGGUAACCCGAAUGCUGCUAAUGCUGGUUAUGGGAGUGGUCCUCAAGGUGGACCUAGAAGUUCAUGGUCCACUCAAGCUCCCUCUGGGUAUGGAGCCAUGGGUUAUGGUAAUGCUGCUCCUUGGGGUGGUGCUCCCGGAGGCAAUGCUGGAGCUGGCAGUGGAGGACCUGGAUCUGCACCCACUGGUCAUUCUCCUGGCGGAGCUGCUGGGUAUGGAAACCAGGGUUAUGGAUAUGGUGGGCUUGGUAAUCAAGGUUAUGGUUACGGUGGAGGCGAUGGCUCAUAUGGGAGUCAAUCUGGUUAUGGUACAGGCGGAGGACGGUCUGGUAGUGCCUCAAAUAGCAACGUCGGGGGUGGUCCAAGUGGGGGAGAGAUACAAGGGAACAGUGGUGGUUACAUGGGAAAUGGCUAUGGGGAUGCUAAUGGAAACAACACUGGUUAUGGAAAUGCUGCAUGGAGAUCUGAUGGAGGACAAGUAGGUUAUACAGGUGGUUAUGCUGGUGGACAAGCUCGGCAAGCCCAACAACAGUAAUUCAAUGAUCAAAAGUGAACUGGAUCGUGCCAUGUUCUGUGUAUCCGUGUUUGUUUUAUGAGAUCGAUGUUUUCGAGUUGCUUAUGGAAAAAAAGAGGUUGUCUUGCUGCUGACUGAAACGGUGGCCCGAUUUGUAACACAAUGAGCCUGGAGGGAUGCCCGGAGUUGUAAAAGUGGAGUCGAGAGAGUCCACUCAUGACUGAACACAGGCUUCGUAGUGAAGGACCGUGUUCGGGAUGUGUGUGUUCAGCAUUUAUGGAACUCGAGGGAGGACCUCUAAUCGGUUGAAAUAUUGGAUUUACCCCCCCGGAACCGAAUAUGUUCUUCUGCAAGGCCUUGCCAACACUAUCAAGUAUUCCAAAUCUCUGGCAUUGUGAGUCAUUAGUUCAUAGUAAUUCUUCUCAAGGUUAUUGAAUCCAUUCCUUCAAGACUUGGUUAUGUAGGCUACUCGGUGUUAAUUAUUAGUAGGUAUUGAUUUAAAGCUUCUUAGCCAUUUCUCUUCUGUUAAUAAUUAGCUAACAAUAGCCUAUGUAGAUUUAGCCUAUAUAGAAUGCUUCUGCUGUUACCUUUUCCUGUUGGUAAAGUAGCAACUGGUUCAAUAUAUUCCUUUGCUAUUUUGCUUCAAGGUCGACGAUUAGUCGUAAAGAUCUCGGUUUUAGAACUGCUAUUAGGUGAAUAUAAUGGUCUUUCUGCUGUU